UACGUAGGGGGCGAGCGUUUGUCCGGAUUUAUUGGGCGUAAAGAGCUCGUAGGCGGUUUCGUAAGUCGGAUGUGAAAACUCCAGGCUCAACUUGGAGACGCCAUUCGAUACUGCGAUGACUUGAGUCCGGUAGGGGAGUGUGGAAUUCCUGGUGUAGCGGUGAAAUGCGCAGAUAUCAGGAGGAACACCGGUGGCGAAGGCGGUUCUCUGGGCAUGUCCUGACGCUGAGGAGCGAAAGUGUGGGGAGCGAACAGG
rnacentral:rRNA from 1 species